AUUGAACGCUGGCGGCAGGCCUAACACAUGCAAGUCGAGCGGGGUUUUCGGACCUAGCGGCGGACGGGUGAGUAAUGCGUAGGAAGCUACCCGAUAGAGGGGGAUACCAGUUGGAAACGACUGUUAAUACCGCAUAAUGUCUACGGACCAAAGUGUGGGACCUUCGGGCCACAUGCUAUCGGAUGCGCCUACGUGGGAUUAGCUAGUUGGUGAGGUAAUGGCUCACCAAGGCGACGAUCCCUAGCUGGUUUGAGAGGAUGAUCAGCCACACUGGAACUGAGACACGGUCCAGACUCCUACGGGAGGCAGCAGUGGGGAAUAUUGGACAAUGGGCGCAAGCCUGAUCCAGCCAUGCCGCGUGUGUGAAGAAGGCCUUCGGGUUGUAAAGCACUUUCAGUAGGGAGGAAGCGUUGAGUGUUACUAGUACUCAGCGUUGACGUUACCUACAGAAGAAGCACCGGCUAACUCUGUGCCAGCCGCCGCGGUAAUAC
rnacentral:rRNA from 1 species